GUGCCCGUAGCUCAGCUGGAUAGAGCGUCGGUCUCCGAAGCCGAAGGCCUUGAGUUCGAAUCUCAACGGGCACA
rnacentral:tRNA from 2 species